GACGAACGCUGGCGGCGUGCUUAACACAUGCAAGUCGAACGGAAAGGCCCCUUUGGGGGUACUCGAGUGGCGAACGGGUGAGUAACACGUGAGUAACCUGCCCUUGACUUCGGGAUAACUUCAGGAAACUGGGGCUAAUACCGGAUAGGAAUCCUUGCUGCAUGGUGGGGGUUGGAAAGCUUCGGCGGUUUUGGAUGGACUCGCGGCUUAUCAGCUUGUUGGUGGGGUAGUGGCUUACCAAGGCUUUGACGGGUAGCCGGCCUGAGAGGGCGACCGGCCACAUUGGGACUGAGAUACGGCCCAGACUCCUACGGGGGGCAGCAGUGGGGAAUAUUGCACAAUGGGCGGAAGCCUGAUGCAGCAACGCCGCGUGCGGGAUGACGGCCUUCGGGUUGUAAACCGCUUUCAGCAGGGGCGAAGCUUGUGGUGACGGUACCUGCAGAAGAAGCACCGGCUAACUACGUG
rnacentral:rRNA from 1 species